rnacentral:tRNA from 1 species
GAGGGUAUAGCUCAGUGGUAGAGUGCAUGCCUAGCACACAUGAGGUCCUGGGUUCAAUCCCCAGUCCCUCCA